UGGGGAAUUUUUGACAAUGGGCGAAAGCCUGAUCCAGCAAUGCCGCGUGUGUGAAGAAGGCCUUCGGGUUGUAAAGCACUUUUGUCCGGAAAGAAAUGGCUCUGGUUAAUACCUGGGGUCGAUGACGGUACCGGAAGAAUAAGGACCGGCUAACUACGUGCCAGCAGCCGCGGUAAUACGUAGGGUCCAAGCGUUAAUCGGAAUUACUGGGCGUAAAGCGUGCGCAGGCGGUUGUGCAAGACCGAUGUGAAAUCCCCGGGCUUAACUUGGGAAUUGCAUUGGUGACUGCACGGCUAGAGUGUGUCAGAGGGGGGUAGAAUUCCACGUGUAGCAGUGAAAUGCGUAGAGAUGGGGGGGAAUACCGAUGGCGAAGGCAGCCCCCUGGGAUAACACUGACGCUCAUGCACGAAAGCGUGGGGAGCAAACAGG
rnacentral:rRNA from 1 species